CCCUUAGAUGUUCUGGGCUGCACGCGUGCUACAAUGGCGCUUGCAACAAGUCUUGCCAACCCGAUAGGGUGAGCGGAUCUUUGAAGAGGCGUCGUGAUCGGGACAGUUGAUUGCAGUUAUUCGACUCGAACGAGGAAUUCCUUGUAAUCGCGAUUCAUCAUAUCGCGCUGAAUACGUCCCUGCCCUUUGUACACACCGCCCGUCGCUCCUACCGAUUGAGCGAUCCGGUGAAUGUUUUGGACUGGCGUCAGAAGCGGUUCGCUCCUGACACUACGAAAUUUUGUAAACCUUAUCGCUUAGAGGAAGGAAAAGUCGUAACA
rnacentral:rRNA from 1 species